CCUACGGGAGGCAGCAGUGGGGAAUAUUGGACAAUGGGCGAAAGCCUGAUCCAGCAAUGCCGCGUGAGUGAUGAAGGCCUUAGGGUUGUAAAGCUCUUUUACCAGGGAUGAUAAUGACAGUACCUGGAGAAUAAGCUCCGGCUAACUCCGUGCCAGCAGCCGCGGUAAUACGGAGGGAGCUAGCGUUGUUCGGAAUUACUGGGCGUAAAGCGUACGUAGGCGGUUAUUCAAGUCAGAGGUGAAAGCCCGGGGCUCAACCCCGGAACUGCCUUUGAAACUAGAUAGCUAGAAUCUUGGAGAGGUUAGUGGAAUUCCGAGUGUAGAGGUGAAAUUCGUAGAUAUUCGGAAGAACACCAGUGGCGAAGGCGACUAACUGGACAAGUAUUGACGCUGAGGUACGAAAGCGUGGGGAGCAAACAGGAUUAGAUACCCUGGUAGUCCACGCCGUAAACGAUGAUAACUAGUUGUUCGGGCACUUGGUGCCUGAGUGACGCAGCUAACGCAUUAAGUUAUCCGCCUGGGGAGUACGGUCGCAAGAUUAAAACUCAAAUGAAUUGACGG
rnacentral:rRNA from 1 species